UGUAAAUAUUACAUAUUCCCAACAUAAUGAAAAAAACUUAAUUCAAUUUUUGUGUAAUUUCAGAAUGAUGUAAUAUAACAUCGAACCGGUGUGAUUGUGUAUCUGGAAAACACGAUUACAUCGGAAUUUUUUUACAUCAACGGUAUUACAUCGAGCCAAAUUACAUUAUUUUUUGCUGUGUACGUAACCAUGGCAACAAGUGAAUUCGGCACCGCCUAAACGUCAAAUUAGUGAACUCGUGCAUCGGUCCAUAUUUGAACGGCCCCGAAGCAUCACUCAGAAAUCUCGCGUAACAUCAGGGGGUGGGAAACUCGGCUCACUUGAAAUUGUGCCGAAAUGUGCCGACUGUGCGAGAGUGAGCGUGAGCGAUCGAUGUCACAUUUGUCUGGUUGCACUGCAAAAACUGGCAACUGUGAAGGUUUCAUGACAGAUUGUUUUUGUUUAUUUUUGAAAACUUCGAGAUCACCUACUGCAGUCUGAUCAGAUUGAGAGCUAAAGUUUUCACACGACGGAAGCCGCCAAUUAAAUUUCUUGUCCGAUGGCAGAGGAAUCGAGGUGGAUUACUAUCGCUCAUUAGGAUGCCCAACAGAGCAAUGGAUAUUCAAGGGAUCUGAUCUGGAACUUUAUUGAGAACCCAUCUGCAUCUGUUCGAAAUUGAUAAUGCCACCGGUACCGAUGCUGAAGAAUGACCUGAUGAGGCUACUGGAUAUCACCAGCCAGGGAGUGGUCGAGUGAGACGAAAUGGUUUGCGACCGUGGCGUGCCGCUGCUGAUGCUUCUCAGUGGAAGUGAUUUUUGGAGCUAAGCGUGGAACAUUGCGGACACGAUUAUCAAUUCGCAUGCCAAAUACUUGCUACACAUUACAUGGUGAUGGAGAAGUGGCUU